CAACUAAAUCCAAUUCAAUUGGACUUGAUCCAAAAAUAAUUACUCAAUUAAAUUGAGUUAAUUAGUGAUUAAAUCACUAAUAAAAUCUCUCAUAAAUACUUUGUGCAAAUCCGAUGGGCAAUCGGGCAUCAGAAUUCAUCGAUAUGUAACCCUGAUUGAAAAGUCCCAACCAGUGGGACUCUUGACCCCGGUACCCAUAAUGUGUAGAACUCGUGAUCAGAGAAUCCUAAUUCUUGAUCACUGAGUAUCAAAUAUGUAGGAUUCUACACCAGCCA
rnacentral:lncRNA from 1 species